AUUAAUUAUUUAAGUGUAUCCGGUGUAUUCAUAUGGCUGUACAUGGUGGUGAAAUACAGAACGUAAAAACUGUAUCUGAGUGAAUCAAUAGAUAUGAAACUCCAAAACCUAUUUAAUAACAGGAUGAACGUAUCCUCCUCUGAAGGGAUCCUUUUCAGAGAAAAAAGAAAAGCUAAAGCAAAAUGGCACAAACGUGAAAACAGAAAACAUGGAAAGGAAAUAAAAAGUAAAAUAAAAGAUCAUAAUAACAACGAAUUCUCAAAAUUCAUAGAUUAACACUCUCUGCACAUGAGAAUACCGAUUAUUCCCUAUCGAAAGCCAUGAACAAAAUGAAGAAACCAGUAAAACUAUUCUCAGCAAUCAGAAAAACAGACAACACAUGGGCCAGAAACAACGAAGAGCAAGUCGAAGAAUUAUCCAACCACCUUUGUAACGCAUUUACACAUAAUAUUAACAACAGUACCACCAAUUGUCAUACAGACAUAGAUGUGCAAAAUACUAGUACCUCAACUGACAAGCACUAUACCAUACCUGGUACAACUGCUCAAGAAGUUAGAAAUAUAAUCAAGAAAACAAGAAACAAUAAAGCACCAAGAAUCGACCUAAUCAAUGGUAAAAUCUUGAAAUGACAAUAAUAUGCAAUACAAUUUUAAGAAUUCAAUAUUUUUCUACUCUAUUGAAACCAGUACAGAUCAUAAUGCUACCUAAGCCAGGCAAACACCCACAGCAAACUGCACCUUACAGACCAAUAUCACUACUUCAUGUGUUUUGCAAAAUACUAGAGAAAAUAUUAUAUGAUCGCCUGAAAUCAACGAUAGAGGAAGAAAAAUUAAUGCCAGAUCGCCAAUUUGGAUUCAGAAACAAACACUCCACCACGGAGCAAAUGCACAAGCUUGUCAAUGAAAUUUUACUAGCAAUAAAAAAGAAACAAUACUGUACAGUCCUCUUCAUGGACAUUGUGAAAGCAUCUGGCAAAGUGAAUCAUGAAAGCCUCUUACAAACAAUCAAAAACAUUUCCCAGAACAAAUCUACCACUUACUCAAAUCGUAUCUAAGCAAUAGAACCUUUGUAGUAAAAAUAAAGGACACAUAUUCUGCGGUUAAAGACAUUAAGGCUGGGGUACUGCAAGGAAGCGUCUUAGGACCAAUAUUACAUACAAAACCCAUAUCAAAGGAAGGCUAAGAAGAAAACAUCCCACCGACCUGGUUAAAGAAAUAUAAUAGGCAAGCCGUAAGCUUUACUUAAAAUCGUACUUACACAUCUAUUUAAUCAAUCUUAAAAUACAAAUAUUAUAUGUUUAUAUUCUUAUAUAUUCGCGGGAGGAUGUGCGCAGGUACCAUGUUGUCCUGCUGAAUUGUAGCCAAUCAACGAACAGUGUUGUAAGCAAUUCGAAAUAAUAACGGUUGACCGACACGAGGCUCCGCACAGUCGGUCUGUGGAUUCGCACGUGGUGAUAUGUUCGUCGUGUUAAAUAAUGUCUACAAUGUGGAUAUAUAUCAGUUAGUAAUGAAUGCUAAACAAAGAAUUACAGAGUUAAUCUGUUAAAUUUUGAUAGAAGAAAAUAUAUAAAUACAAAAGAUGCAACACUUGAUCGAUCAUUGUUUUAUUUAAGAAUAAAUAAAGGUAGCACCCAUGUAUAGAUGUAUAUAUAGAUUAUUAUGGAAUCCGAGGAUUGAACUGCGAAGAUUGUUUCAAAUGUAUUCCAGCAAGAGUUAAUUAUAUCCAUAUUGGUCAUAUGUCACUGUUACAUUUCAUAAAUUAAAUUGGUCUUCAAAGUCUCUGGAUCUCCAAAACCUUGUGCAUGGAUUUCGUGUUAUUCAAAUAAACCUAUUCUCCUGUAAGGUAAAUCAUUAUAAAUCUUCUCUUAUGUUGGUAUGGUGAGUCUCUUUUUAUUAUCUUUAUUACGAAAUGUAUGUAAUCAUGCGUUCUCCUUUUUAUUAUGACGGAUUUAAAUGAUGUACUGCAUGCCUUUACCAACGAAUGCUUACAAAUGGCCAUGAUGCUGCUCUCAAUGCGAUAAGCGCUGUAUUAAAAAUAUAAUUAAAAACAUCAGACCAGCGGAGUGAGAUCUCUAUUUGUAACGUGCCGCCUGCGUAUAGAAAGGAGUAAAAAUCACCGUGGACUCGUCGCGGUUAGCGGUUGAACUCCAAUUUGAAAUUGUUUAUGUCAUGCUGUUAGCGCCAAUCUGUUAACGCCCAACUAUUAACGCCAAUCGUCGCAACCUUGGGUUCGCAGGUUGAUUGCGCCAUUUCCUUUAGCAGAUGUUUUCCUAUUUUUCUUCGGGUAACUAAUCAGUUACCCGAUUUUAUUUAUUUCUUUUUUGGAAUUCUUUGGUAUAUAGUUUACAUAAAAAUAACAUAGUUCUAAAAAACGUUCUCUUUGUCCAACGAACUCCCGAUUCCUAUGCAAUCUCCCCUGGUUAUCUGGCGCACGCGUAACAUUCACGUACCGUUGCAUGCGUUGCCAUUCCUAUUCGUAUCCUUCUUUUUAUACUUGAAUACUUUAUUUGAAUAUAGAAUUAUAGAAAACGUUUAAGAAUACAUAAAUACAGAAAUAUAAAAGAUAUAAAGAUAUAAAAAUAAAAAAAUACAAAACUAUAAAAAUUACAGAAACUCUGAUUAAACAUUGGUACUUAUAUUUUACGCUCGUUUUGUAUUACACAUACAUUUUUUAUAUUAUAUACGUGAACCAAAAUAGAAUGUACAAAGUAUAUUUUAUAUAACAUGUUUCAUAUCUGAUUCUUUUCUUAAUCAUCGCAUUUGAUCACAGACAUUUUCCUUUCGCAAUUUCCACAGACUUCUGAACCUUUACCCAGCUGCAUAUCAUUUUUAUUUUCCUCUUUUUCUUUUCUCCCCCUCAUACGAGGCAUGAUCAAAAAGAUCGUUGAAUUUUUUUCUUAUUUGAGAAAAUAUUUAUUUGUUCGUCUAUAUUUAAGUUGUUCCCUUUGAAUAUAAUAUGUUUUUGCCAGCGUGUCUUCCGGUCAUUAACACAUUUCUGAAAGCACUUUCUUCUAUAGUGCAUGUUAAUCGAUAAGUUUUAGAGUCGGUAUUUAUUGAUUCACUCAGAUUAGAUUUGUAUAUUCUAUAUUUCACCACCAAGUACAAACAUGCGAACACACUGGAUAUACUGAGAUAAUUAACACAUGGCCGACGUCUAAAAUAAGAAAGUUAGAAGUCGUACCAACUUAGCUUGUAGGAACUAACGAUCAUACCAACCCACUAUAUCCUCCCUUUUGAUCAUAGUUUCUACAAGUCCCAUAGCUUUGGUAAAACGCUGAGUCUUAAUCUUAUUUAAACCUUUGGUGAGAAUAUCUGCAAUAUUCUCAGAACUCGGCACGUAGACAUAAUCUAGUAUUUCUUUUGACACGCAAUUUUUAACGUAAAAAUAACGCACUUGAACGUGUUUAGGCCUUUCUGCGACUAUCUCGUCCUUGGACCAUGAAAUGGCUCCAAUAUUACCACAGAAGAUUUUGCAUGGGCGAGGACAAUGUGAUAGUUGACCCAACUCCCUUAACAGCAAGGAUAUCCAGACAGUUUCUCUUGCUGCCUGUUGCAUCGCUACAAACUCUGUCUCACACGUCGACUGAGAUAUUAUUGGUUGUUUCUUCGACAACCACUCCUAGAUUUUCUAUCUACAACACAGCCCGCAAAGUCAGAAUCUAGGGCUACGAUUCCUAAUAUUUGUAGUGCGGAUAUGCCAUAUCCCUUCAAGGAAUUUAUACGUCGCUCAAAUCGCAGGGUACUGAUUUGCAUUUCCAACAUAUCGAGGUCGGCUUUAUAUUGAUUAAAAUUGUGAGUUACUCUUGGAGCUGUCUCUAAUAUUUUCUCUAAUAUUGGAACGUCUGUUCCUUCGAAGCUGUAUACACUAUUCUUAAUUCUGGUUUCGUAAGAGAUAUUUUUAUGUGAUCCCCCUAUCUUUAUAAUAUUGUGAUCGUAUGUGAUUAUGUACCCGGCUUUACUGCUAAUUAAACUAGGCUGCCUAAUUUCCAGGAUUUUGUGUGUCUUACAUAGUACGUCGAUUUGCACAUUUUUUCUAGGAAUAAUAAUGUAAUGGUUUUCUGUCUGUGAAGGUACGAACGUCAAUCCUUCCAAUUUGAAGACAGCAGUCGGGCAAGUCCUGAUUGUCUGUUGAUUAUUAAUUAAUUCUGACCUGCAUUCAGGUGAGUUCAUUCUAUUAUGACUUGGUUGAGUUCUUUUACAAAUGUGGAUGAUUGCUGUUCGUUUACAAUAUUUAUCCAAGUAGGGACUAUCGACAAAGGUGUAUUGUUCUGAGUUGGUUAAUAUCAAGUCAGUUUCUAUUACAGACGCAAUGAAUACAGAGUUUUGUUUGGAAGGUAUCGGAUAAAUCUUAGUCAUUUUCCAUUCGUUGUUUUCUAAAACCGGCAUAGUUAUCGUAUAUAUAAGUUUGUUAUCUCUUAUCCAUAAUUUUAAUUUACUUAGAUCUAGGAUUAGUUGAAAGUUUUGAACUGAAGGUUCGAUACGGUUAGUCAUAAAGCUUUGUCUCGUUAGUUGGUCAAGUGUUUUUAAGAAUUGUUCAGGUUCUAUAACUUGUGGAUUUAUGAUUCCUUGUUUUCCUAACGUGAUAGUUUUAAAAAUUUCGUUGAUGUUAACAUGGAGUUCCGAUAUGGUAAAUUCAGUUUGAAUUACUAGGGAGACUAAUAUUUCGUUUCUGUCAUUGUGGUUUUCAAUUUUGUGUGUAUGGUUGGCAAGGUUUUCAAGUUGAUCGAGAUCUGUUUUGGUGUCGUCUAGCACGCGUUUGAUAAGUGCGGUUUGGUCACUAAGGAUUGUUUUCAUUUUGUUGUUGGAGUCAAAUAAUGUGUCGAUGUUUUCGUUAACGAGUUUUAGGUCAUUUUCGUCGAGAGUUCCGAAUAAAGUUUUGGAUGCUGAACCUAUGACAUUGAGUAAUCCGCGUUUGUUUCUAUAAUGCAAUAAUAAUUUAAGUUGCCGAGUCAGGUUUUGAAGAUUUCUAUACUUAGAUUUUAGGCUGCUUAUUUCUGGUGUGUGAGCGCAAGGUGGUUUACAUUGACGGUCUAUUAAAUCUAUUACGCGUUGUAAUCUAUUAACUUGAUCAAUUGGGUCGUUAAGCCCUACUAUAAGGGUGAUAUCUAUUUGUUCGUUGUACAGAUAGCAAUCGUCGAUGUGUUCCAAGAAAAUGUUGGCGUAAUUUAGUGGUUUUACUACUAGAUCGCUUUUAAUGUAUUCAAGUGUUAUAAUGAUCCAUGUUAUGGUCUUCUUCCUGAAAAAUAUGGUUUUAGCCUGUUACCGUGGAUUCUGUGUGUGGCCGUUGGAAUAUUCGAUAAGAUAGGUGGGUGGAUUGGAGGAGAGGAUUUCUGCAGGUCCUAGCCAUUCGUGAUCUAGUUUGUUGGUUUUGUGAUCGUUAUGUACCCACACUUUGUCUUUUACUCGGAAUAUAGUUUGUGUUUUAAUAAUUUUUCGAAUCCGAUCCCUUUGAUACCGCCUCUUGUUUGAUUCAGUGAUUUCUCUUGCUUUCGUUAUAUAAGCGUUAUGUCGGUUUCUCCAGAGUUUAAAUAAUUGAUCUUUAGUUAGGGUGGGGGUGUUUGAUAUUGAGGAAGGCAUGUUAGCUUGUCGUCCAAAUGUUAGUUCGAAUGGGGUAUGUCCGGUCGUUUCGUGUACUCAAGUAUUGUAUCCCAUGCAUGUUAGUUUUAAAUUUUCGUUCCAGUCGUUUUGUCGGUCGGUUGUACAAGUUCGAACGAGAUCUUUUACCACAGCAUGUGUUCGUUCAAGAGAUCCGUUAGAUUGCGGGUGGAAGAAAGUGGUUUUCACGUGUCGAAUCUUGAAAGCCUCUUCAAAUGUAUCCAUCAGUUUACAUUUUCGUCCCAUGUCCGUGAGGAUACUUUUCGAUGCAGAGAAUAUAUAUACAUAGUGAUCCAGGAGUUCGUUAAUGAUCGAGUUGGCUGUUUGGUCUUUUAAAAGUAUAAGAACGAGAUAUUUGGUUAAUUGAUCUUGGAUAGAUAGGAUAAAUUGGUUGCCUCGUCUGGUUUUGGUUAGGGGUCCGAAUAUGUCCAUUGCGAUUUUAUCAUUGGGGUUAACGGGUGUGUCAGUCAUUACGGGUUACUCUUUGGCCCUUUUUUUUUUUCUUUUUUUUUUUUUUUUUCUUUUUUUUUUUUGCGUGAGGAGGGAAAAAUGCUGUUACGCAUGCCCAGUGACCCGCAUCACUGGGUUAUGUGGGACUCGGGCGGAUGUUGUUGCCAUACCCACUAAAGACCCCUCCUCCUUCUUCCUCUGCUUUGAGGACAGACAACCCCGGUAAUACCUGUCGGCAGUCAUCAGGGUUGUCCUUUCAUGCCCUGUUGUAUCUUCUUCUUCGGGCAGUUACUGCUCGCGUCAUCUUCUCAGCCAGUUCAAAUACGCGGCUUGGGCGUUGGCCUGCUCUUUGGCCCUAAUACGGUUUAAUUUUUCUCGUUGGCAGGUUUUGCAGUUUUGUAUAAAUUCUGUGACGUCUUGCUCUAGGUUUGUCCAGUGAUGGUGUUCUUGUAUUCGUUUCACGGUGCGGUGUAUACCUAAGUGUCCUACUAUUUCGUUAUGAUUUUCGCGCAGUAUAGUUUGUUUUUGUUCGUUAUCGUAGUCUACCGGCGGAUCUUGUCCAAA